rnacentral:rRNA from 1 species
CAGCACCUCAAGUGGUCAGGAUGAUUAUUGGGCCUAACGCAUCCGUAGCCGGCGCUGUAAGUUUUCGGUUAAAUCUGUACGCUCAACGUACAGGCUGCCGGGAAUACUGCAGAGCUAGGGAGUGGGAGAGGUAGACGGUACUCGGUAGGAAGGGGUAAAAUCCUUUGAUCUAUUGAUGACCACCUGUGGCGAAGGCGGUCUACCAGAACACGUCCGACGGUGAGGGAUGAAAGCUGGGGGAGCAAACCGGAUUAGAUACCCGAGUAGUCC